rnacentral:rRNA from 1 species
UGCAAGUCGAACGAAGGCUUCGGCCUUAGUGGCGCACGGGUGCGUAACGCGUGGGAAUCUGCCCUUUGGUUCGGAAUAACAGCUGGAAACGGCUGCUAAUACCGGAUGAUGUCGAUGAGACCAAAGAUUUAUCGCCAGAGGAUGAGCCCGCGUUGGAUUAGGUAGUUGGUGGGGUAAAGGCCUACCAAGCCGACGAUCCAUAGCUGGUCUGAGAGGAUGAUCAGCCACACUGGGACUGAGACACGGCCCAGACUCCUACGGGAGGCAGCAGUGGGGAAUAUUGGACAAUGGGCGAAAGCCUGAUCCAGCAAUGCCGCGUGAGUGAUGAAGGCCCUAGGGUUGUAAAGCUCUUUUACCCGGGAAGAUAAUGACUGUACCGGGAGAAUAAGCCCCGGCUAACUCCGUGCCAGCAGCCGCGGUAAUACGGAGGGGGCUAGCGUUGUUCGGAAUUACUGGGCGUAAAGCGCACGUAGGCGGCUUUGUAAGUCAGAGGUGAAAGCCUGGAGCUCAACUCCAGAACUGCCUUUGAGACUGCAUCGCUUGAAUCCAGGAGAGGUCAGUGGAAUUCCGAGUGUAGAGGUGAAAUUCGUAGAUAUUCGGAAGAACACCAGUGGCGAAGGCGGCUGACUG